CUCGUCCUCAGUCUCAUCAGCUGGUUUUAGAUCAGUAUCCUCACCAUUAAUCCAUCCUGGUUUGUCCUUUGUUGAAGAAUCAUCUGGCUCAGCCAUGGUCGCAUCAUCCUGGCCCGGGUCUAUGAUCCGAGGCGCAUCAUUCCCUCCCUCUUGAAAAGGAUUUGACCUCAAAUCCAUUUUACCUGUAUCAAAAGGAAAUGAAUCAGACAAAAAGAAUUUAAAAAUCAUGUAAAAUUUAGUGAAGGAAAAUUUUGGAAAGAAACUUCCUUGGAGUUUUGAAGUUGG
rnacentral:lncRNA from 1 species